rnacentral:rRNA from 1 species
GAAAGAUGGCUUUGGCUAUCACUCUGGGAUGGACCUGCGGUGCAUUAGCUAGUUGGUAAGGUAACGGCUUACCAAGGCGAUGAUGCAUAGCCGAGUUGAGAGACUGAUCGGCCACAAUGGAACUGAGACACGGUCCAUACUCCUACGGGAGGCAGCAGUAGGGAAUCUUCCACAAUGGGCGCAAGCCUGAUGGAGCAACACCGCGUGAGUGAAGAAGGGUUUCGGCUCGUAAAGCUCUGUUGUUGGAGAAGAACGUGCGUGAGAGUAACUGUUCACGCAGUGACGGUAUCCAACCAGAAAGUCACGGCUAACUACGUGCCUGCAGCCGCGGUAAUACGUAGGUGGCAAGCGUUAUCCGGAUUUAUUGGGCGUAAAGCGAGCGCAGGCGGUUGCUUAGGUCUGAUGUGAAAGCCUUCGGCUUAACCGAAGAAGUGCAUCGGAAACCGGGCGACUUGAGUGCAGAAGAGGACAGUGGAACUCCAUGUGUAGCGGUGGAAUGCGUAGAUAUAUGGAAGAACACCAGUGGCGAAGGCGGCUGUCUGGUCUGCAACUGACGCUGAGGCUCGAAAGCAUGGGUAGCGAACAGGAUUAGAUACCCUGGUAGUCCAUGCCGUAAACGAUGAGUGCUAGGUGUUGGAGGGUUUCCGCCCUUCA